UGGGGCGUCGCCAAGUGGUAAGGCAACGGGUUUUGGUCCCGUUAUUCGAAGGUUCGAAUCCUUCCGUCCCAG
rnacentral:tRNA from 2 species